rnacentral:rRNA from 1 species
CACUGACAUUAGAUACCCGGGUAGUCCUAGGCGUAAAUGAUGCGAGUUAAGUNUGGGGGCAUCUACGAGAUGGCCCUGUGCUGUAGGGUAGCCGUUAAACUCGCUGCCUGGGGAGUACGGUCGCAAGGCUGAAACUUAAAGGAAUUGGCGGGGAGCACCACAAGAGGUGGAGGCUGCGGUUCAAUUGGACUCAACGCCGGAAAACUCAUCGGGAGCGACAGCAGUAUGAUUGCCAGGUUGAUGACCUUGCUUGACAAGCUG